UGCCAAACGGAUGGACUGUUGGAGGAGC
rnacentral:piRNA from 1 species